UACGUAUGGUGCAAGCGUUAUCCGGAUUUACUGGGUGUAAAGGGAGCGCAGGCGGCACGGCAAGCCUGAUGUGAAAGCCCGCGGCCCAACCGCGGGACUGCAUUGGGAACUACCGGGCUGGAGUGCCGGAGAGGUAGGCGGAAUUCCUAGUGUAGCGGUGAAAUGCGUAGAUAUUAGGAGGAACACCAGUGGCGAAGGCGGCCUACUGGACGGUGACUCACGCUGAGGCUCGAAAGCGUGGGGAGCAAACAGG
rnacentral:rRNA from 1 species